rnacentral:rRNA from 1 species
UUAAGCGACUAAGCGUACACGGUGGAUGCCCUGGCAGUCAGAGGCGAUGAAGGACGUGCUAAUCUGCGAUAAGCGUCGGUAAGGUGAUAUGAACCGUUAUAACCGGCGAUUUCCGAAUGGGGAAACCCAGUGUGUUUCGACACACUAUCAUUAACUGAAUCCAUAGGUUAAUGAGGCGAACCGGGGGAACUGAAACAUCUAAGUACCCCGAGGAAAAGAAAUCAACCGAGAUUCCCCCAGUAGCGGCGAGCGAACGGGGAGCAGCCCAGAGCCUGAAUCAGUGUGUGUGUUAGUGGAAGCGUCUGGAAAGGCGCGCGAUACAGGGUGACAGCCCCGUACACAAAAAUGCACAUGCUGUGAGCUCGAUGAGUAGGGCGGGACACGUGGUAUCCUGUCUGAAUAUGGGGGGACCAUCCUCCAAGGCUAAAUACUCCUGACUGACCGAUAGUGAACCAGUACCGUGAGGGAAAGGCGAAAAGAACCCCGGCGAGGGGAGUGAAAAAGAACCUGAAACCGUGUACGUACAAGCAGUGGGAGCACGCUUAGGCGUGUGACUGCGUACCUUUUGUAUAAUGGGUCAGCGACUUAUAUUCUGUAGCAAGGUUAACCGAAUAGGGGAGCCGAAGGGAAACCGAGUCUUAACUGGGCGUUAAGUUGCAGGGUAUAGACCCGAAACCCGGUGAUCUAGCCAUGGGCAGGUUGAAGGUUGGGUAACACUAACUGGAGGACCGAACCGACUAAUGUUGAAAAAUUAGCGGAUGACUUGUGGCUGGGGGUGAAAGGCCAAUCAAACCGGGAGAUAGCUGGUUCUCCCCGAAAGCUAUUUAGGUAGCGCCUCGUGAAUUCAUCUCCGGGGGUAGAGCACUGUUUCGGCAAGGGGGUCAUCCCGACUUACCAACCCGAUGCAAACUGCGAAUACCGGAGAAUGUUAUCACGGGAGACACACGGCGGGUGCUAACGUCCGUCGUGAAGAGGGAAACAACCCAGACCGCCAGCUAAGGUCCCAAAGUCAUGGUUAAGUGGGAAACGAUGUGGGAAGGCCCAGACAGCCAGGAUGUUGGCUUAGAAGCAGCCAUCAUUUAAAGAAAGCGUAAUAGCUCACUGGUCGAGUCGGCCUGCGCGGAAGAUGUAACGGGGCUAAACCAUGCACCGAAGCUGCGGCAGCGACGCUUAUGCGUUGUUGGGUAGGGGAGCGUUCUGUAAGCCUGUGAAGGUGUGCUGUGAGGCAUGCUGGAGGUAUCAGAAGUGCGAAUGCUGACAUAAGUAACGAUAAAGCGGGUGAAAAGCCCGCUCGCCGGAAGACCAAGGGUUCCUGUCCAACGUUAAUCGGGGCAGGGUGAGUCGACCCCUAAGGCGAGGCCGAAAGGCGUAGUCGAUGGGAAACAGGUUAAUAUUCCUGUACUUGGUGUUACUGCGAAGGGGGGACGGAGAAGGCUAUGUUGGCCGGGCGACGGUUGUCCCGGUUUAAGCGUGUAGGCUGGUUUUCCAGGCAAAUCCGGAAAAUCAAGGCUGAGGCGUGAUGACGAGGCACUACGGUGCUGAAGCAACAAAUGCCCUGCUUCCAGGAAAAGCCUCUAAGCAUCAGGUAACAUCAAAUCGUACCCCAAACCGACACAGGUGGUCAGGUAGAGAAUACCAAGGCGCUUGAGAGAACUCGGGUGAAGGAACUAGGCAAAAUGGUGCCGUAACUUCGGGAGAAGGCACGCUGAUAUGUAGGUGAAGUCCCUUGCGGAUGGAGCUGAAAUCAGUCGAAGAUACCAGCUGGCUGCAACUGUUUAUUAAAAACACAGCACUGUGCAAACACGAAAGUGGACGUAUACGGUGUGACGCCUGCCCGGUGCCGGAAGGUUAAUUGAUGGGGUCAGCGCAAGCGAAGCUCUUGAUCGAAGCCCCGGUAAACGGCGGCCGUAACUAUAACGGUCCUAAGGUAGCGAAAUUCCUUGUCGGGUAAGUUCCGACCUGCACGAAUGGCGUAAUGAUGGCCAGGCUGUCUCCACCCGAGACUCAGUGAAAUUGAACUCGCUGUGAAGAUGCAGUGUACCCGCGGCAAGACGGAAAGACCCCGUGAACCUUUACUAUAGCUUGACACUGAACAUUGAGCCUUGAUGUGUAGGAUAGGUGGGAGGCUUAGAAGUGUGGACGCCAGUCUGCAUGGAGCCGACCUUGAAAUACCACCCUUUAAUGUUUGAUGUUCUAACGUUGACCCGUAAUCCGGGUUGCGGACAGUGUCUGGUGGGUAGUUUGACUGGGGCGGUCUCCUCCUAAAGAGUAACGGAGGAGCACGAAGGUUGGCUAAUCCUGGUCGGACAUCAGGAGGUUAGUGCAAUGGCAUAAGCCAGCUUGACUGCGAGCGUGACGGCGCGAGCAGGUGCGAAAGCAGGUCAUAGUGAUCCGGUGGUUCUGAAUGGAAGGGCCAUCGCUCAACGGAUAAAAGGUACUCCGGGGAUAACAGGCUGAUACCGCCCAAGAGUUCAUAUCGACGGCGGUGUUUGGCACCUCGAUGUCGGCUCAUCACAUCCUGGGGCUGAAGUAGGUCCCAAGGGUAUGGCUGUUCGCCAUUUAAAGUGGUACGCGAGCUGGGUUUAGAACGUCGUGAGACAGUUCGGUCCCUAUCUGCCGUGGGCG